UGUUCUAUGGUGUGGUGGUUAACACUUUAGACUUUGAAUUUAACAACUUGGGUUCAAUUCCUAGUGGGACCU
rnacentral:tRNA from 1 species